ensembl:lncRNA
UAGAAAUCUCCAGAAUGUUCCUGGUUUCAUGAGUAACCUGCAGUGGAUCACAUGGAAUGUGUGAGAUUGAACCAUAGAAAAUUGCCACUACUUGACCAUAUUUGACUAACAGAGAUGACAGUUUCUAAUGAUUCUUCCUAACAACUGUAACAGAUGUGAAAGUACAGUACUAUACAAAUAGGAGGCACUGUCAGUUACUCAGUACUUUAAUUUAUCUCUGCCUCUUUUUGAGUUCCUGGCAUUUUCAGUUGUUGGUGCCUUUUUGUACUUUUAAAACUUAUUACCAAUGACAUACUAUAAUACUUCCAUUUAUUUUGUUCUCAAUUUAACUUUACAGCUUCCUCUGUCUUCCUAUUUGUAGACAACUUAAAAUUUCCAAAUUUUAUAGAUUGACAAAAAUUUGGCCUUCUAGAGUUAAAUUUUAAUCUUGCCUGGAAUUUUUCAGUUUCCUUCCUUGAAAAAAGAACACAUUUUAAUACCACGAGUUCUAAAUGUAUGUGCAGAAGUUUUUAUUUGGAAAAAUUGACAUGUAGUUUAGUGAUUCUUAUAAGUAUAUUCAUCAGCAGUCUAUCAUGAAGAAAUAUAGCAUUGGCUUUCCUCACUACCAACAUCUUGCUAAUAAUAGUGUAUUGUAUAUUGGGCUUUUAUUUAUUAUUUAAAAAAAUUUUUUUUUGCUCUUUAGGGCUGCACCCAUGGCACAUGGAAGUUCCCAGGCUAGGGGUUGAAUCAGACCUGUAUCCACAGGCCUACGCCAGGGCCACAGCAAUGCCGGAUUCGAGCCGCGUCUGCCACCUAUACCACAGCUCACGGCAACGCCGGAUCCUUAACCCACUGAGCAAGGCCAGGGAUCGAACCUACAACCUCAUGGUUCCUAGUCGGAUUCGUUAACCACUGUGCCACGACGGGAACUCCUCCUGUAGAUUCUUGAUUAGUAAGAAAUCAGUCUAGUCCAGGAGUGAACUAAUAUGAUUGUUUGGCUUGUUUAUUCCUUUCUUGGUCAAAGGACAAAGAUUUGUUUGAAAUGCCUAUCCAAUUUGAUAGUAUAGUCCAGUUGUAUUGUGUCUAGUGGAUUUAAUUUUUUUCUCCUUUGGAUAAUUUAUUAACUGAAAUAUGGCUGUCCUACAGUUCUGUGUCAUAGAUUUAUAUGGAUUUCUAUUUUCCCUAGCUUAUGAGAUCAGGUUGAAAAAAAACUUUUUUUCUUUUUAUGGCCACACCUGUGGCACAUAGAAGUUGCCAGGCUAGAGAUCAAAUCUGAGCUCCAGCUACAAGCCCAUGCCACAACACUGGAUCCGAGUCGCAUUUGUGGCCUGUGCUGCAGCUUGUGGCAAUGCUGGAUCCUUAACUCAGGGAUCGAACCUGUAACCUCAUGGGCACUGUGUUGGGUUAUUAACCUGCUGAAUUGAACCACAGUGGGAACUCCCUGAAAAUUUUUUUAAUGUACCACUUCAUCUCUGAUAUAUGCAUACGCACACGUAUUUGAAAUAAGUUCAAAUCAGAAAAUACUGUCAGAGUUGUUUAACCAGACAACUUUUGUGUACUAUUUCAGGUCUUAAUAUAGAAAGAAAUAAUAGUUUUCAAAAGAAUUUUGGAAAAGCCAGAUGGGUAUGAAUAAAAAUAGAAAUGUGUGUUCUCUUGUGUCACAGUGGGUUUAAGGAUCCAGCGUUGUCACUGCAGUGGCUUGGGCUGAUGCUGUGGCACAGGUUUCAUCCCUGGCUCAGAAACUUUCACAUGCUGUACCCAUGGCCAAAAAAAAAAGAAAAA